UCCUCCUUUUUCUCUCUUUUUUCGGAAUUACUGGGCGUAAAGGGCGCGUAGGCUGUGCUGUAAGUCAGGCGUGAAAUCCCCGGGCUCAACCUGGGAAUUGCGCAUGAUACUGCGGCGCUGGAAGGCGGGAGAGGAUGGCGGAAUUCCCAGUGUAGAGGUGAAAUUCGUAGAUAUUGGGAAGAACACCGGUGGCGAAGGCGGCCAUCUGGCCCGCAAUUGACGCUGAGGCGCGAAAGCGUGGGGAGCAAACAGG
rnacentral:rRNA from 1 species